AUACGGAGGAUCCGAGCGUUAUCCGGAUUUAUUGGGUUUAAAGGGAGCGUAGGUGGAUAGUUAAGUCAGUUGUGAAAGUUUGCGGCUCAACCGUAAAAUUGCAGUUGAUACUGGCUGUCUUGAGUACAGUAGAGGUGGGCGGAAUUCGUGGUGUAGCGGUGAAAUGCUUAGAUAUCACGAAGAACUCCGAUUGCGAAGGCAGCUCACUGGACUGCAACUGACACUGAUGCUCGAAAGUGUGGGUAUCAAACAGGAUUAGAUACCCUGGUAGUCCACACAGUAAACGAUGAAUACUCGCUGUUUGCGAUAUACAGUAAGCGGCCAAGCGAAAGCGUUAAGUAUUCCACCUGGGGAGUACGCCGGCAACGGUGAAACUCAAAGGAAUUGACGGGG
rnacentral:rRNA from 1 species